GGAAGUAAAAGUCGUAAUAAGGUCUCCGUUGGUGAACCAGCGGAGGGAUCAUUACCGAGUUUUCAACUCCCAAAACCCCCUGUGAACUUAUACCUUACUGUUGCUUCGGCGAAGCGCCCCGGAAGGCGGGACCUCACCCUGCGAAGGGAUGGGCCCGCCGCCGGAACCAGGCGCCCGCCGGAGGCCCCCCAAAACUCUUGAAUAUUUUUUACUAGCAUGUCUGAGUGGAAUCAUAUGAAUGAAUCAAAACUUUCAACAACGGAUCUCUUGGUUCUG
rnacentral:misc_RNA from 1 species